GAUAUGGCUACCGGGUCCUGGGGAUCGCUCGCCAGCCGUUGUCCAGCACACAUGGACUUCAGUAUCUGGAAGACGGCCAGGGGAGCCACGUUCAGAUUCAGCAAGUCCACCAGGAUCCUGGGGAAACAAAUGUGGUGCUUAGCGAAACCUGAGAGCCUCAGAGCAGACCAGCUCCAUGUGUCGGGCCAGCUGGGCCCCCGCCAUGGAAACGCGUACGCAGACCGGGAGUUUUCAGAGCAGCGGAUCGGGGCUGGAGGGGUCCUGAAGCAGGCUUAUCUGCAGGGAGUGUGAGCUCCAAGCCCUAGCCCUUGCCUUCUCACUUGAAAACAUCCGGGUCGAUGACGGUGCCAGCAGCCUGUGCAAGUUCGUACAGCUCCAUUUCCUCGGUUUCCAGCGCCUUCUUCCGCCGAAGCGACAACUUUUGCAGCGUCGCCGCCUCCAGCCCUGUGGAUGUGCCCAGCCCGGCACCACCACCCGCUGCCGCCAUCAGCGCAGCCUGAAAAAAAGCAUCUUGUGGUAGCACCAUUCUCCUCCUGAUAAAGUAGAGGAAAUAUCAUGGAGGGAUCUCAGUGAUGCCAAUUUAUCACCAGUGUCCAGACAAAUAGGUUCAAGGUGGUACAUCUCCAUCCACCCUGGUGAACAUUGUGUUCCUGAGUCAUAUAGCAGAGGACAACUUUGGAAACUACUGGAACAAAGUUUUUUUGAGUCCCUGUCCCAAAAUGAUAUCUUGUACCAGAGAAAAAUGUAUAUCGUUGGGCGAACAGAACAUCAGCAAAAGAUCCACUCCCAUCAGGAAGCCUGCACAUCACCUCAUCCUCCCUCCCUUUCCCUUAAAGAGGAGAUGCAGUGAGCUGACUCUACCAGAGUUCACGGCAUCAGCAAGAGGCAACAAAGUACAGGAGGUAAAUGAGAAAGGUACCAAGGGCUUCUCUAGGUCCAGCUCACCUGACUUAAACAUCAGAUAUGAACUCACCUGUGAAUUCUGCCCCACGGGGUGAUUGUUUGAAGGCAUUAAGCAAGUCUGAGGAGACAGAAAAUGCUGCCCCAUUUGGUGACACAUGUCAGGGGACACAUGUGGAAGCUGAGAUGGACAAGACUGGUAACGCCAUCACUUUUAUUCUCGCGACUCUGGGUGUCUCGGGGUUCUCGGAGGACACCGACUACCAAAGGACCAGAGGAUAUUACUGACGUUAGAGAGAACACCACCACCAGUGUAGACAUUACCAGCCAGAUGGCGUGGGAUCACAUAUAUGAUGUGUCCCCUCCCCAUCAUGGAAACAACCAACAUGAAAUAGUCAGACAUGCUUCAGCAUCUAUAAAUGAGCCGCCCCAGGAGGCACCCAGAGACUCCAAGAAGCACAGCAGAAGGGAAUAGAAGGAACAAGGAGGCAGAUUAGGAACCUGUUUAGGUUUUGUUGCUGUUUUCCCACCCCCAAGGACAAAAGGCACAACAUCCAGGGUUAAAGAUGAGGCCCAGACCCAUGGUUCCUAAACCAUUGGUCUGUGUUCGGCCUGGUGUGACCUAACAGCCCCGGAGGAUCCAGGCCAGAACUUGAAAGGAGGUGUACCCCAAACCUAUUGUUACCUGCCAGACACCUUCAGCACCCAGGUCGCCUCCUGUACCCUCCUCUCCUGCAGAGUAUGAACAACCAUCUCCCCACUGAAGAGCAUUGUUCUUCCAGCACUGGUGACUGGACAGAGAAGCCAGCCACAUAGCCACCUUGUUAUUAAGAGCAGCCAUCCCUCCUCUGUAGUCCAUGGGAAAGAACCUCCUUUCUUCAGACCCCAAGGUGCUGUUCUCUCAUCCAAGGAUUAUUCAAACAGAUAAAUUUCAUGGCCCCGUGGGGGGAUUCCUUGGCUUCAAUUGAGUGAAAGCCUACGAUUGUUCUGUCUACUGGAAAUGGGUAAGUAGUGCUUGACAGCGCUGUGGAGCAUCACUGCCCAGGCAAGACCGGCAUCCUUGGGACUUCUUUGAUCCCAGUGUCCACCUUCAAGGUCAAGAAUAGAAGGAUACCUAAUUGCCUCAGAGCUACAAAACCAGCAUGUGGUAGUGUGUGCGCAGCCUUACUGAGUGAGGUAUCUGCAGUGUCCCCUGGCACCUUUCUAGUAAGGGGCAGCUUUCUGGGCAUCAGGAAGUGCUGGCAACAGGAAUGUAAGUGCCUAAUCUGUGGAGACCACUCAGAUGAAGUGGUUUGACUUCACUAAGUAUCUCUUUGUGGUGCAAGAUAAGAUUCUGCUAUCUGAUCUUGCCAUAACAUAACAAUGAAAUUGACCUUUGUUCCUCUGCAGAGGCUCCUAGCCUUGGUCACUGGGAAUGCGGACCUCUGUGCAAGCUCAGCAAUUUCUCUGGAAAAGAGUUCCUGAACCUUACCUGUAGCUAAGACCAAGCUGCUAUAAAGUCUGCACUGCUCCACCUUGUGGCGAUGAUGACGCAGUGGGUCCUCAUAGUGAGGACUUGACUCUUGUGUUAUUGUAGCCCUGAAGCCUUUCCCAGCUGCUCUCGGGCCCAGGAGACGGGAACAAGAUGUGACUGCUGAAGAGCAUGAUUGAGUGUCUGGAACCUGAAGAACAGCAGGAUGAGUUCUUCUCGACUGUCUGGCUGGGAGGGACACAGCCCAGCAGCCCUUAGCUUCUUGUAGGAGGCUUGACCACAAUACCUCAGUGCUGUGGACCCCGUGCAUGCAUGUCAGCCCUGGCAUUCAAACACAGAUUACUUGAAGAAACUUUAAC